rnacentral:tRNA from 1 species
UCCGGAGUAGCUCAGUUGGUAGAGCGAGUGGCUGUUAACCACCAGGUCGGGGGUUCGAGUCCCUCCUCCGGAGCGA